UUAAGACUGAACAUGAGGAUCUGACGCCCACCAGAAGCUCCAGUAAUCAGCAAACGUCCUCUGGUACUUUCAGCAUUAACACCCCUCUCAGUCCCACACAGGAAGAAGGAAACGUCUGCUCACAGUGUGGGAAGAGCUUCAGGUUCCAGUGUCAUCUCAAAAUACACCAGCGCAUUCACACUGGAGAGAAACCAUAUCAGUGUGCACAGUGUGGAAAGAGUUUUAAUACAAAGAGUGUCUUUUAUACAGAUAACGAGGUCAAACAGGUGCCAUUAAUACAGGUAAUGAGUGGAGGACAGAAGAGCUUCUUAAAGAAGAAGUUACAGGCCUGUGAGAGCCAGAAAUCUUGCUUGUUUGUGGGUGACCAAAUACUUAUUUUCCACCAUAAUUUACAAAUAAAUUCUUUAAAAAUCCGACAA